rnacentral:rRNA from 1 species
UACGUAGGGGGCUAGCGUUGUCCGGAUUUAUUGGGCGUAAAGAGCGUGUAGGCGGCCAUGUAGGUCCGGUGUGAAAACUCGAGGCUUAACCUCGAGAUGUCAUCGGAAACCAUUUGGCUAGAGUCCGGAAGAGGAGAGUGGAAUUCCUGGUGUAGCGGUGAAAUGCGCAGAUAUCAGGAGGAACACCAAUGGCGAAGGCGGCUCGCUGGGCCACACCUGACGCUGAGACGCGAAAGCUAGGGGAGGAACAGG